rnacentral:rRNA from 1 species
UACGAAGGGGGCUAGCGUUGUUCGGAUUUACUGGGCGUAAAGCGCACGUAGGCGGAUCUUUAAGUCAGGGGUGAAAUGCCGGAGCUCAACUUCGGAACUGCCUUUGAUACUGGAGAUCUUGAGUUCGAGAGAGGUGAGUGGAACUGCGAGUGUAGAGGUGAAAUUCGUAGAUAUUCGCAAGAACACCAGUGGCGAAGGCGGCUCACUGGCCCGGUACUGACGCUGAGGUGCGAAAGCGUGGGGAGCAAACAG